AUUGAACGCUGGCGGCAGGCCUAACACAUGCAAGUCGAGCGGCAGCGGGAAAGUAGCUUGCUACUUUUGCCGGCGAGCGGCGGACGGGUGAGUAAUGCCUGGGAAAUUGCCCAGUCGAGGGGGAUAACAGUUGGAAACGACUGCUAAUACCGCAUACGCCCUACGGGGGAAAGCAGGGGACCUUCGGGCCUUGCGCGAUUGGAUAUGCCCAGGUGGGAUUAGCUAGUUGGUGAGGUAAUGGCUCACCAAGGCGACGAUCCCUAGCUGGUCUGAGAGGAUGAUCAGCCACAUUGGGACUGAGACACGGCCCAAACUCCUACGGGAGGCAGCAGUGGGGAAUCUUGCGCAAUGGGCGAAAGCCUGACGCAGCCAUGCCGCGUGAAUGAUGAAGGUCUUAGGAUUGUAAAAUUCUUUCACCGGGGACGAUAAUGACGUUACUCGCAGAAGAAGCACCGGCUAACUCCGUGCCAGCAGCCGCGGUAAUACGGAGGGUGCAAGCGUUAAUCGGAAUUACUGGGCGUAAAGCGCACGCAGGCGGUUGGAUAAGUUAGAUGUGAAAGCCCCGGGCUCAACCUGGGAAUUGCAUUUAAAACUGUCCAGCUAGAGUCUUGUAGAGGGGGGUAGAAUUCCAGGUGUAGCGGUGAAAUGCGUAGAGAUCUGGAGGAAUACCGGUGGCGAAGGCGGCCCCCUGGACAAAGACUGACGCUCAGGUGCGAAAGCGUGGGGAGCAAACAGG
rnacentral:rRNA from 1 species